rnacentral:rRNA from 1 species
UACGUAGGGGGCAAGCGUUGUCCGGAUUUAUUGGGCGUAAAGAGCGUGUAGGCGCCAGGUAGGUCGGUUGUGAAAACUGGAGGCUUAACCUCCAGACGUCGACCGAAACCCCCUGGCUAGAGUCCGGAAGAGGAGAGUGGAAUUCCUGGUGUAGCGGUGAAAUGCGCAGAUAUCAGGAAGAACACCCGUGGCGAAAGCGGCUCUCUGGGACGGUACUGACGCUGAGACGCGAAAGCGUGGGGAGCGAACAGG